GCGAUGAUAGUGCAGUGGUUAGCAUCUCCGGCAAACAUUCCGGAAGGCUCAGGUUCGAUUCCUGAUCUUCGCC